GACGAACCGUGCGAACGUUGUUCGGAUUCACUGGGCUUAAAGGGCGCGUAGGCGGGCAUCCAAGUCAGGGGUGAAAUCUUUCGGCCCAACCGGAAAAGUGCCUUUGAUACUGGGUGCCUCGAGGGAGGUAGGGGCAUGUGGAACUUCCGGUGGAGCGGUGAAAUGCGUAGAUAUCGGAAGGAACGCCGGUGGCGAAAGCGACGUGCUGGACCUCUUCUGACGCUGAGGCGCGGAAAGCUAGGGGAGCAAACGGG
rnacentral:rRNA from 1 species